rnacentral:rRNA from 1 species
AACGUAGGAGACAAGCGUUAUCCGGAAUUACUGGGCGUAAAGGGCGUGUAGGUGGGUUCGUAAGUCUGGCGUGAAAUUUCUCGGCUUAACCGAGGCAGGUCGUCGGAUACUGCGGAACUAGAGGACGGUAGAGGCGUGUGGAAUUCCGGGUGUAGUGGUGAAAUGCGUAGAUAUCAGGAAGAACAUCGGUGGCGAAGGCGCUCUGCUGGACCAUAACUGACACUCAGGGACGAAAGCUAGGGGAGCGAAUGGG